rnacentral:rRNA from 1 species
AUUGAACGCUGGCGGCAUGCCUAACACAUGCAAGUCGAACGGCAGCACAGCAGUAGCAAUACUGUGGGUGGCGAGUGGCGGACGGGUGAGGAAUACAUAGGAAUCUACCUCGUUGUGGGGGAUAACGUAGGGAAACUUACGCUAAUACCGCAUACGACCUACGGGUGAAAGUGGGGGACCGCAAGGCCUCACGCGAUGAGAUGAGCCUAUGUCUGAUUAGCUAGUUGGCGGGGUAAAGGCCCACCAAGGCGACGAUCGGUAGCUGGUCUGAGAGGAUGAUCAGCCACACUGGGACUGAGACACGGUCCAGACUCCUACGGGAGGCAGCAGUGGGGAAUAUUGGACAAUGGGCGCAAGCCUGAUCCAGCAAUGCCGCGUGUGUGAAGAAGGCCUUCGGGUUGUAAAGCACUUUUGUACGGGAAGAAAACCUAUUCAUUAAUACUGGGUGGGAAUGACG